rnacentral:lncRNA from 1 species
GAACACCGGGAAUGGCACGGGAAUGGCACAGGAACACCGGGGAGGGCACGGGAAACACCGGGAGAGGACAGGAAACACCGGGAAUGGGAACAGUGGGGAGGGGACAGGGACAGCGGGGAGGGGACAGGAGCCACCGGGGAAGGUGCAGCAGCCACAGGUGACGGGACGGGAACACCACGGGAGGGGACAGGAAUGGCAGGUGAGGGUACGGGACCGCAGGUGAGGGUACAGGUACGAUAGGUGAGGGUACAGCAGCACCGGGGAGGGGACAGGAGCCAUGGGGCAGGUGACACCCCGGCCACCACAGGGCCCUGCUGCGCCACAGGGGGCGUGGGACAGGGCUGUGGGGACCGGCUGUGCCCUGCUCAGUGUCCUGUGUGACACCUGUGUGACACCUGUGUGACACCUGCGUGACACCUGCGUGACACCUGUGUGACACCUGUGUGACACCUGUGUGACACCUGUGUGACACCUGUGUGACAGCCUGGCACUGCUGUGUCCUGUGUGACACCUGUGUCACACCUGUGUGACACCUGUGUGACACCUGUGUGACAGGCUGGCCCUGCUGUGUCCUGUGUGACACCUGUGUGACACCUGUGUGACACCUGUGUGACACCUGUGUGACAGGCUGGCACUGCUGUGUCCUGUGUGACACCUGUGUCACACCUGUGUCACACCUGUGUGACACCUGUGUGACAGGCUGGCACUGCUGUGUCCCCUGGCGUGUCCUGUGUCACACCUGUGUCACACCUGGCAGGUGACACAGGUGCACUGGCAGUGCCCCCAUGCUCCCUUGCUGUCCCUGUCACAGAUCUGCCCCACACCUGUCCCUGUCACAUCUCCCAGGUGUGCAACGUGGUGGUGGCUUUGUGUCACACCUGUGUCACACCCGUGUCACACCUGUGUCACACCUGUCCUGUCACGUGUGUCCUGUGUCACGCCUGUGCUGUGUCACACCCGUGUCACACCUGUCACAUGUCCUGUGUCACACCUGUCUUGUCUCGUGUGUCCUGUGUCACACCUGUGCUGUGUCAUACCUGUGUCACACCUGUGUCACACCUGUCCUGUCACGUGUGUCCUGUGUCACACCUGUGCUGUGUCACACCCGUGUCACACCUGUGUCACACCUGUCACAUGUCCUGUGUCACACCUGUGCUGUGUCACACCUGUGUCACACCUGUCCCCACAGAUCUCUCAGGUGUGGAACACUGGUGGCUCUGUGUCACACCUGUGUCACACCUGUCCCCACCUGUCCCCGCAGAUCUCCCAGGUGUGGAACACGCCGCUGGUGCAGCUGCUGUCA